rnacentral:rRNA from 1 species
UGCCAGACUCCUACGGGAGGCAGCAGUGAGGAAUAUUGGUCAAUGGGAGGAAUCCUGAACCAGCCAUGCCGCGUGCAGGACGACGGCUCUACGAGUUGUAAACUGCUUUUGUACCGGGGUAAAAUGCCUUACGAGUAGGGUUUUGAAAGUACGGUACGAAUAAGGAUCGGCUAACUCCGUGCCAGCAGCCGCGGUAAUACGGAGGAUGCGAGCGUUAUCCGGAUUUAUUGGGUUUAAAGGGUGCGCAGGCGGAUUUUUAAGUCAGCGGUCAAAUCGUGGGGCUCAACCCCAUCCAGCCGUUGAAACUGGGGAUCUAGAGUGUGCGAGAGGUAUGCGGAAUGCGUGGUGUAGCGGUGAAAUGCAUAGAUAUCACGCAGAACCCCGAUUGCGAAGGCAGCAUACCGGUGCACAACUGACGCUCAGGCACGAAAGCGUGGGUAUCGAACAGGAUUAGAUACCCUGGUAC